rnacentral:rRNA from 1 species
CCUANGGGUGGCAGCAGUCGCGAAAACUUCACAAUGGGAGAAAUCCCGAUGAGGGAAUACCAAGUGCCAGCACUUUUGUGUUGGCUGUUCCCCUGUCUAAAAAACAGGAGAAGUAAGGGCCGGGUAAGACGGGUGCCAGCCGCCGCGGUAAUACCCGCGGCCCGAGUGGUGGUCGAUAUUAUUGAGCCUAAAACGUCCGUAGCCGGUCUCAUAAAUCCUUGGGUAAAUCGGCCAGCUUAACUGUCCGAAGUCCGAGGAGACUGUGAGACUUGGGAUCGGGAGAGGUCAGAGGUACUUCUGGGGUAGGGGUAAAAUCCUGUAAUCCUGGAAGGACCACCGGUGGCGAAGGCGUCUGACUAGAACGAAUUCGACGGUGAGGGACAAAGCCCUGGGGCGCAAACGGGAUUAGAUACCCCANUANUC